GCCCCCUUAGCUUAAUGGAUAAAGCAGCUGCCUUCGAAGCAGUUGAUAGAGGUUCGAUUCCUCUAGGGGGCA
rnacentral:tRNA from 1 species